UACGAUAGCUAUCCCAAUAAUGCAACUCUAUGCUCUGGUGUUUUUGUAAGUCCCUCUCUCCAAAACCUUCACCACUUCCCUGACUGCGCACCGCCCUCGUAAUACCUUGGAGAUCUCCAGCCAUUUUUGGUGAGAUGUGUCAGAUGUCAGAAUGAUGCGUAAGGCUAGCUGUGGUUAGAUUUAUGGCAGGUCUAAAGGCUUUGAGGUGUGAAGGUGACCGUUACGCAGGUACAUGCGUCUGAGGCAACACGGAAGAGAGAUAGAGAGAUGCUAAUAGGAGUCUGUAUUUGCGCAGUCGCAGAGGCUGGCCCGAUGAUAUGAGGCGCCUGGCCACCGCCUUCCACCCGUACCUCCACCCUCCGCUGUCUAACCGCGUUCCCCACCCCUCCAUCGCAAAUGCAGUACGCAGGAUUUACUUCUUCCUGUGGGAUACGCCAAGAAUCCAACAAAACGUGUCAUCUCAGUGGUUAAAGGAUGGACUGUGAUGUGCUCCGUACAUUGAUACGCUAAUGUCAUUUUACAGCCUUCAAAUAUGAAUCAUGCAUUUGAUAUUCCUUCUGAGUCUGGUCGUCAGCAUCCUCAUCGCCUUGCAAUGUCAAUUUGCCUCAACGUCAACGGUUUCCCCUGCCGCUGAGUAUGUGGACAUCGGGAACACGGCGUCAGACAAACCUGGGCGAGAGUCGACAGGUUCACCGUCGGACAGCGCCAACUCUACGCGCCAGGGGCUGUUUCAGGGGGUCACGAUUACCUAUCCUGCGAGGCUUAUCUACUACCUAAACGAGGAGUCGGAGAGUACCAACCAUGACCUGGACACCCGUGCGCGGAACCAGGUCUCACAGGACCAGGAUAUCCACCUGGCUCAGGCAAGCUUUCAGCUAGAGGCCUUUGGGUCCACAUUUACCCUGGACCUUUCCUUAAACAAUGAUUUGCUGUCCUCAGACUAUGUAGAGAUACACUAUGAGGAUGGGAAACCUGUGCUUUCUAAGGGGGGGGAGCACUGCUAUUACCAUGGCCAAGUGCGAGGAAAGGAGUUCUCGCGUGUGGCCCUCUCCACCUGCAAUGGACUACAUGGUAUGUUUGAUGAUGGGGACUUUGUGUACCUCAUCGAGCCUCAGAAGCAGACGCACUACUCGGACAUGGAGGCCAGAGCCCACACCUUACGCAGGGCCACCUCACUGCUUUCACUGGGUGACGCAGAGGACCUGGAGCUGAGAAAACAGAGGGAGGAGGAGGAAGUGGAGGAUGUGCCAGAGGCAGGGGUUUUAUCCGACAUGCCCUGGCUAAGACGCCGGAGGAAACGAGCUAUGCCACGUAAUGUGUUCGAGGAGAUGAAGUAUCUGGAGAUCAUGAUUGUCAGCGACCACAACACGUUCAAGAGACACAAAUCCAAAAAGCAUACCAGGAAUUUUGCCAAGUCAGUGGUCAACCUUGUUGAUGCGGUCUUCAAGGAACAGCUGAACACACGUGUAGUGCUGGUCGGCAUGGAGAUCUGGACCGACCAGGACCGCAUCCCCCUGAGCGUGCGUCCACUGGAUAUGCUCAAAGACUUCUCCAAGUACCGGCAGGGCAGCAUUAAGCUGAGUGCAGACUCCGUGCACCUCUUCACGAAUGUGACUUUCCACUAUGGUCGGAGCAGCGUGUCUUACAUCGGCGGGGUGUGUUCACCAGUGCGGGGAGUUGGGGUCAACGAGUAUGGCACUACUUGGACCAUGGCAGCCUCUCUCUCGCAGAGCCUGGCACAGAACCUUGGCAUCCAGUGGGACCCCCCAACCAGGCGGAAGGAGUGUGGCUGUAUGGACUCUUGGAUUGGAUGCAUUAUGGAGGAUACAGGGGUGCAGCACCCUCGCAAAUUCUCCAAAUGCAGCAUAUCUGAUUAUAAGACAUUCCUGUUGAGGGGUGGAGCUUCUUGUCUGUUUAACAGACCUAAUAAGCUGCUUGAGGCCACAGAGUGUGGCAAUGGAUACGUGGAGGUGGGGGAGGAGUGUGACUGUGGAGCACGAAUGGAGUGCUACAAGGACUGCUGUAAGAAGUGUUCUCUGUCUAACGGUGCUCACUGCAGUGAUGGCCCUUGCUGUAAUGUCACCUGCUUGUUUUACCCACGAGGGUACAGCUGUCGCUACGCUGUCAACGAUUGCGACAUUUCAGAAACCUGCUCCGGAGACUCAGGACAGUGCCCUCCAAACCUCCAUAAGCAGGAUGGCUACUCCUGUCAGCUUAACCAGGGUCGUUGCUACAGCGGGGAGUGCAAGAGCCGUGAGAACCAGUGCAAGUACGUCUGGGGUUCCAAGGCUGGAGGCUCGGAGAAGUACUGCUAUGAGAAGCUGAACACCGAGGGAACAGAGAAGGGCAACUGUGGGCGAGAUGGAGAGAAGUGGCUGCCCUGCAGCAAACACGAUGUGUUCUGUGGCUAUCUGCUGUGCUCCAAAAUUGGGAGGAACCCGCGCAUCGGAACCAUGAGGGGUGACAUCACCCCAACCACAUUCAACCACCAGGGGAGACUGGUGGACUGCAGCGGUGGCCAUGUGUUGAUGGACGAUGACACUGAUCUGGGGUACAUGGAUGAGGGUUCUCCAUGCGGCCCCUCCAUGGUGUGCCUUGAGCGAAAGUGUAUGCCCAUCUCUUCCCUGAACAUCACUGCCUGCCCCUCGGGCCCCAACGGACGCAUCUGCUCCGCGCAUGGGGUGUGCAAUAAUGAAGCCACGUGCACGUGUGACUCCACGUGGGCGGGCACAGACUGCAGCAUGCACGACCCCCUAAAAGAGCCGCCCACCGUCCCGGACGAUGGCCCCAAGGGUCUGUAAUCUUGUUAUUUUCUUUAUUUCUUACAUACACACAUACACACACGCCUACACAUACACACACACUACCCCCCCCCCCCACACACACACACACACACAGCAUGCAUUCUACCUCCUCACGUGGUACGUGUUAUACCCAGGUAGCUCAUCACCAAUUACUACUGAUUUUUCUUCAUGUGAGCAGACUAUAGCGUUAUUUAUCAAUGUUGUCUUCAGACGUGAGUUUCUUAUUUUGUGUGUAUCUGUAUUUGUUCUGUUGAGUGGGGAUUCUUUUUUCUUUUUUGAGUCAUUUGUUGCUUUAUUGAAAUCACCCCUAUUUCCUCUGCGCAGUGAGCGUGGCCACUAACAGACUGAUAGGGGCAGUGGCAGGGACCAUUCUGGCCCUGGGGGUGAUUUUUGGAGGCACAGGGUGGGGAAUAGAAAACGUCAAGAAACGACGUUACGACGCCAAUGCCAGCGCCAUCUAGAGGACUGGAUGAGGCUGUGCACUCUGGGGUCAGAUCCUGUGCUGGAUUCAGUCGAUCUGACAUUCGCUGGACUCCUCCUUACCCUUUCCUGCUGCUAACUUAGCGUUAGUAUUUACUUGAAGACACCAAACGGAACAUCGAUAAUGAAUGAAACAACUGAAGACUACUGAGCAUCUUCCAUUUGUAGUUGUUUGGAACUACAGUACCCACCCUCACCCCCACCCAAUUUUUCCCCUCCUUUCCCCCAAAUAGACUUUGACUUGUUCCCAACUACUCUUCUUUUCCCCCUCUCCUCCCCAAUCCUCACCUCCACAGAGUCUCCUCCACAUGACAGAGACACAGAGUGGUGUAGUGUGCUGGGGCGCUCUCAAAGCCCACCCAUCAGGGCAUGACUUCCUGUACAGCGCACUUUGACCUUCCAUGCGGAACCCCAGCAUGAUAAGUCCUGGCUGAGGCACUGCAUGGCUGAAGUGAGUCACCCAUUCAAAUCGAAAAAGAGAAGAAAACAAAAAAAAAAACUCAAGUACAAUCAAUCACUCAGUCGAUCAAUGACUAUGAACACGAAUCCAUGGAAAAGAGAUGUAAGGCAUCCAGGAUGGACUGCUGACAUCCCUACAUGGUAGCGUUGCUACCAGCAACGUAAGUCCCUAAAGGAAGAGGCUUGUAAUGUCACAUUGAGAACAUAGAUCAACUAUUGAGUCUCAACAUAUCAUUUUACACUAUUACAUAACUUGCAUUUUUUGUUAGAAUUUUAGCAUGUUGUCUUGCAGGUGUUUUGGCUGUAUUAAUGACAAAAAUUAUGGAAAGAAAAAAAAGAUCAGAAGGGGGAAUAUUUUGGCCAAUUAUAGACAAAGAAACAUGCAAGGAAGCACUUGUGAGCAGUGUUAACAACUUUCCCACAACAACACAAAAACAGGGAACUUGACACAGAAAGACACACAGACAACACAGACAAGCACACAUACACACACACACACACACACACACACACACACACACACACAUACACAUACACAUACACAUACACACAAACACACCCACACACUCUCAUACACAAGUCCCACACAUGAUAAAUAUGGUAACAGUGCUAACAUUACCCUUUUGGCCCAGUGUUCUCACAAAACCUGUUGAUAGACACUCCAGUCUGUUGAAGAGCUGCAUGAUCAAGACUAUUAAGAGGGCAGCCCUUCCCAACUGCUCUGCUUCCCAUGGUUACUGCAUGUCAAAGGAUUAAAAAAUACAACUAACUCUUACUUACUAUGCAAAGGAAAACAUUGCACAGACCUACUGAUUGGUAAUGAUUCUUUAAUGAUACUAUGAAGAUAUUACUAAAAUCAUGUUUUAGCUACUGAAACAAUAAGGCAGCCUUUUAUAUGCUUGGCCACUUCAACAUUUGUCUCUAUAACAAGCUUCUGGUAAACACAGGAAAAAUAAUGAAAAAAAAGUCCAAAAGUCAAAACUCAUCUGAUCAUGUUCAUUUGUCUGACAUGGUGGAAGUAACCACUUGUGUCCUUUGUGAUAGAGAAAGCUGAAUUUUCCAAUCGAGUGUAAUUGUAGGAACAAAGAGUUUGAAGGGAUCUUUCCAGAGUUUUUUUGGCUAGAGGUCUACACGUUGGGUGUCCUGUGUACCAUUUUUAAGGUUACGUGGGUGUCCGCUCUCAUCUCCUUGUUCUUUCUCAACAUCAUCUCAUGUUCCCAUGGGAACACCAUAAAAAAAUAUCUAAAUAAAGGACUUGACAAAGUAUUGUAUCACUUGA